rnacentral:rRNA from 1 species
UACGUAGGCAGCAAGCGUUGUUCGGAGUUACUGGGCGUAAAGGGUGUGUAGGCGGUUAUUUAAGUUUGGUGUGAAAUCUCCCGGCUCAACCGGGAGGGUGCGCCGAAUACUGAAUGACUUGGAGUGCGGGAGAGGAAAGUGGAAUUCCUGGUGUAGCGGUGAAAUGCGUAGAUAUCAGGAGGAACACCGGUGGUGUAGACGGCUUUCUGGACCGUAACUGACGCUGAGACACGAAAGCUAGGGGAGCGAACAGG